AACGAACGCUGGCGGCAGGCCUAACACAUGCAAGUCGAACGCCCUGGCAACAGGGAGUGGCAGACGGGUGAGUAACGCGUGGGAACGUGCCCUUCGGUUCGGGAAUAACUCAGGGAAACUUGAGCUAAUACCGGAUACGUGCGAGAGCAGAAAGAUUUAUCGCCGAAGGAUCGGCCCGCGUCCGAUUAGCUAGUUGGUGAGGUAAUGGCUCACCAAGGCGACGAUCGGUAGCUGGUCUGAGAGGAUGAUCAGCCACACUGGGACUGAGACACGGCCCAGACUCCUACGGGAGGCAGCAGUGGGGAAUUUUGGACAAUGGACGCAAGUCUGAUCCAGCCAUUCCGCGUGCAGGAUGAAGGCCCUCGGGUUGUAAACUGCUUUUGUACGGAACGAAAAGGUUUCUAUUAAUACUAGGAGCUCAUGACGGUACCGUAAGAAUAAGCACCGGCUAACUCCGUGCCAGCAGCCGCGGU
rnacentral:rRNA from 1 species